CUCGGCUAUGAAGAUAUUUUGCAUAAAACACAAAAUGCUGACUUGAGGCAAACCUGAUAUAAUUGUGAUUUUCAUGCCUUCGAAAAUGUACGCGCAAAAAAGGUAAACCACUAAUACGCAAACAUAAACCAGCUGCUGUGCCAACACCUUUUAUUGUCAUAGAUAUUCUGAAAACGUUACAGGCUAAACCGAAGAUCCAAAACGUUUUAAUUUUUCUUGAGCUACAGCAAGUAUUCGCCGUCGGUAAAACAUUAACAAUAUGAUCUGUCAUUUUAGUGUGAUUUUAUUGUGUGUUUCCGGGGUGUAUUGCAUAUCCUCUACGAUUAAAAAAUUAGAUUCAAAUGGACUAAAACGAAUUUUAAACAGCAAAACCACCAUUGGCGAAUGGGACGCAGCUAUGGAUCAAAAUAUAAUUCAAAAAGAUGCCAACGACUUACAGGCCAGUGUUAACGUUAGGAAGGUCGUGGAUGAAUUUAAGCAACAAGCUAACAACAAUGAUGUGACGGAAUUCGAAUCGACGCGCGACAUAAUCGAAACAGCAUAUCAAUGCACGUUAAGAAAGUACGCCAGCCUAACCGCUUUCUUGAUAUUGCGCGAUUUGUGGCAGCUCAAAUCCAACAUCACCACGGCCAUACGUCAAAUGAUAGAAGAUACGUCGGAUUUCGAUGUUCGAACAAUGUUUGGAGAUAAAAGAUUUCAAAAGGUAUUGUCGCGGUUGACCUGGGAGAAAUUACACUUAGACUUUGACUAUAAAUUCGUAAGUGACAACUUUCAAUUGAUCACCAGCCAUGAUUUCGUUUUAAAGACAUCCAAGGAAAUCUACAAUGUAUGGGCAGACAUGAUCCAGAAGAAGUUCGGUUUAAAAAUCAAGUACAAAAUCUAUACCGAUGUGAUGAGCACUAAGUUUACAAACGAAUUUGCAGUACCGCUUAUCGACACUAUCAACGAACUCGUCUGUGUUCUCAAUGAGGCGAUUCAAUUGUUGGACAAUUUCAUUGUAGAUAACUGCGUACCACACGGCGGCAGAUUUGUGGAGAAUUUCGAAUCACUAAUUGCAGGCUUCAAUGGAAAUUUCAUGUGGCUUCUAAAACAAUUGGAUAAAAUGAAGACCAUAGGCACUAAUUUGGGAUUGUACAGAGAUUUUACGAAAUCGGUUCCGGAAACAUUGCCAGCAAUUGCCGCAAUAAAGGCUUCGGGUUGCUUCGUAGAGAGUUUGGAAUUUGAGAUUUCUGGUUUAAAAACGAAUUUGGCAAGUACUAAGAAACCAACGGAAAUUUAUGGUCACGACUUCAACCCACGCAUAUCCGAAAUUAAUAUGAAACUUAUAGAGUCCAUCAAGAGUCAACAACGAGACGGGUUAAAAAUAGGUAUGCUAUUGUUUCGCGAUGAAGCAAAUUUGUUCAAUGUUCAUCCUCAAUUUAGUGAGCCUGUUUCCGAAAACAUGAUAUUGUUGCGCCAUGAAGGAAAUGAUCGUCCUCAACCUAGAAGACCUUUUUUUUUCCAGACCUCCAUAGACACCAAAGAUUUGUGUUUAAUAAAUUGACAAGACUGAACUGCGACUUCUAUGUUAGCUACAGGCAAUUUCUGCCAUAAUGUGAAAACAACAUGAAAGACUAACACGAUGAAAGUGGGAUUAUCAAAAAUAUACAUUGUCAUAUUUCAAAUAAUAAUCGAAUAUACAAACUAAUGUUAAAAUCUAUUAAAGAAAUUAUUGUAAAAUAAACUAACUA